rnacentral:rRNA from 1 species
UACGUAGGGUGCGAGCGUUGUCCGGAAUCACUGGGCGUAAAGGGCGCGUAGGCGGCCGAGCAAGGUCGCGGUGAAAGCCCGGGGCUCAACCCCGGGUCGGCCGUGGCAACUACUCGGCUCGAGCACUGUAGGGGCGGGUGGAAUUCCGGGUGUAGCGGUGGAAUGCGUAGAUAUUGGGAGGAACACCAGUGGCGAAGGCGGCUCACUGGACCGGAACUGACGCUGAGGCGCGAAAGCGUGGGGAGCAAACAGG